GAAAUGCGAUAAGUAGUGUGAAUUGCAGAAUUCAGUGAAUCAUCGAAUCUUUGAACGCACAUUGCGCCCCUUGGUAUUCCAUGGGGCAUGCCUGUUCGAGCGUCAUUUGUACCCUCAAGCUCUGCUUGGUGUUGGGUGUUUGUCCCGUCUCCGCGCGUGGACUCGCCCCAAAGUGAUUGGCAGCCGGCGUACUGGUCCCGGAGCGCAGCACAUGUCGCGCAAACGAGUGCCUUGGUACGGUGGCGUCCAUAAGCCCCACUCUCACGCUCUUGACCUCGGAUCAGGUAGGGAUACCCGCUGAACUUAAGC
rnacentral:misc_RNA from 1 species